rnacentral:rRNA from 1 species
UACGAAGGGGGGCGAGCGUUGUUCGGAAUUACUGGGCGUAAAGGGCGCGCAGGCGGCUCUGAAAGUCAGAUGUGAAAGCCCCGGGCUUAACCUGGGAAUUGCAUUUGAUACUCUGGAGCUUGAGUACGGGAGAGGAGAGUGGAAUUCCCAGUGUAGAGGUGAAAUUCGUAGAUAUUGGGAAGAACACCGGUGGCGAAGGCGGCUCUCUGGACCGUAACUGACGCUGAGGCGCGAAAAGCGUGGGGAGCAAACAGGG